rnacentral:rRNA from 1 species
UCGACGGGAGAAUUGCUAGCUUGCUAAUAAUUCUCUAGUGGCGCACGGGUGAGUAACACGUGAGUAACCUGCCCCCAAGAGUGGGAUAGCCCCGGGAAACUGGGAUUAAUACCGCAUAAAAUCGCAAGAUUAAAGCAGCAAUGCGCUUGGGGAUGGGCUCGCGUCCUAUUAGUUAGUUGGUGAGGUAACGGCUCACCAAGGCGAUGACGGGUAGCCGGUCUGAGAGGAUGUCCGGCCACACUGGAACUGAGACACGGUCCAGACACCUACGGGUGGCAGCAGUCGAGAAUCAUUCACAAUGGGGGAAACCCUGAUGGUGCGACGCCGCGUGGGGGAAUGAAGGUCUUCGGAUUGUAAACCCCUGUCAUGUGGGAGCAAAUUAAAAAGAUAGUACCACAAGAGGAAGAGACGGCUAACUCUGUGCCAGCAGCCGCGGUAAUACAGAGGUCUCAAGCGUUGUUCGGAAUCACUGGGCGUAAAGCGUGCGUAGGCGGUUUCGUAAGUCGUGUGUGAAAGGCGGGGGCUCAACCCCCGGACUGCACAUGAUACUGCGAGACUAGAGUAAUGGAGGGGGAACCGGAAUUCUCGGUGUAGCAGUGAAAUGCGUAGAUAUCGAGAGGAACACUCGUGGCGAAGGCGGGUUCCUGGACAUUAACUGACGCUGAGGCACGAAGGCCAGGGGAGCGAAAGGGAUUAGAUACCCCUGUAGUCCUGGCAGUAAACGG